rnacentral:rRNA from 1 species
AGGACCGAACCCACCUGGGUUGAAAACCGGGGGGAUGACCUGGGGCUAGGGGUGAAAGGCCAAUCAAAUUCCGUGAUAGCUGGUUCUCUCCGAAAUGCAUUUAGGUGCAGCGUCGGCUUAUUGCAUCGCGGGGGUAGAGCUACCGGAUGCUUGCGGGCCCUUGUGGGGUACCAACAGCAGCCGAACUCCGAAUACCGUUGAUGUGUAUGCCGGCAGUGAGUCGGCGGGGGAUAAGCUCCGUCGUCGAGAGGGAGACAGCCCAGACCGUCGUCCAAGGUCCCCAAGCGUGUGCUAAGUGGGAAAGGAUGUGGGGCCGCAUAGACAGCCAGGAGGUUGGCUCAGAAGCAGCCAUCCUUGAAAGAGUGCGUAACAGCUCACUGGUCUAGUGGUCCCGCGCCGACAAUGUAGCGGGGCUCAAGCACACCACCGAAGACGCGGCGGCGCGUGUAUGCGCGCCGGGUAGGAGAGCGUCCUGCAAGGGGCGAAGCGGCCGGGUGACCGUGCCGUGGACUUUGCGGGAGUGAGAAUGCAGACAUGAGUAGCGAGAGACGGGUGAGGAUCCCGUCCGCCGGAUGACCAAGGGUUCCGGGGCCACGUUCGUCGUCCCCGGGUGAGUCGGGUCCUAAGGCGAGGCCGACAGGCGUAGUCGAAUGGAUGAACGGGUGGAUAUUCCCGUACCGGCAGCGAACCGACAGGACCGAGGCGGUGAGUACUAACCUCCGUCGCGGGCCGUUCCCCUCCUUCGGGUGGGGUCCGGCGCGUGGCGUUGGGAGCGUAGCCGUGGUAGGUGAGCGCAGGGGUGACACGGAAUGGGAGCCGGCCGCGGAGGUGGUUUUCCGUGGUCAAGCACGCAGCCAGUCGCACAGGCAAAUCCGUGCGGCGCGUAUGGCGAGGUGCGAUGAUGGGAGCCGUUUCGGCUCGAUAUCCGGUGGUCCAGGCCGUCGAGAAAAGCCCCGGCGUCAGGCGCGUUGCCGCCCGUACCCCAAACCGACACUGGUGGUCAGGUAGAGAAUACCAAGGCGAUCGAGCGAAUCCUGGUCAAGGAACUCGGCAAACCGCUCCCGUGCCUUCGGCAUAAGGGAGACCCCCGCGGGUGAACGGACAUGCUCCGGGAGCGUGUGGGGGUGGCACAGACCAGGGGGUAGCGACUGUUUACCAAAAACACAGGUGCAUGCGAAGGCGUAAGCCGCUGUAUAUGCACUGACGCCUGCCCGGUGCCGGAAGGUUAAGAGGAUCCGUCAGCCCCUUGGGGGUGAAGCGGUGAAUUCAAGCCCCGGUAAACGGCGGUGGUAACUAUAACCAUCCUAAGGUAGCGAAAUUCCUUGUCGGGUAAGUUCCGACCUGCACGAAUGGCGUAACGACUUCCCCGCUGUCUCGACCAGGAGCUCGGCGAAAUUGCAGUACGAGUAAAGAUGCUCGUUAAGCGCAGAAGGACGAAAAGACCCCGGGACCUUUACU